rnacentral:rRNA from 1 species
ACAUCCAGAGAACUUUCCAGAGAUGGAUUGGUGCCUUCGGGAACUCUGAGACAGGUGCUGCAUGGCUGUCGUCAGCUCGUGUUGUGAAAUGUUGGGUUAAGUCCCGCAACGAGCGCAACCCUUAUCCUUUGUUGCCAGCGGUUAGGCCGGGAACUCAAAGGAGACUGCCAGUGAUAAACUGGAGGAAGGUGGGGAUGACGUCAAGUCAUCAUGGCCCUUACGAGUAGGGCUACACACGUGCUACAAUGGCGCGUACAAAGAGAAGCGACCUCGCGAGAGCAAGCGGACCUCAUAAAGUGCGUCGUAGUCCGGAUUGGAGUCUGCAACUCGACUCCAUGAAGUCGGAAUCGCUAGUAAUCGUGGAUCAGAAUGCCACGGUGAAUACGUUCCCGGGCCUUGUACACACCGCCCGUCACACCAUGGGAGUGGGUUGCAAAAGAAGUAGGUAGCUUAACCUUCGGGAGGGCGCUUACCACUUUGUGAUUCAUGACUGGGGUGAAGUCGUAACAAGGUAGGCGUAGUGCU